UCAGCUCUCUUUGCCUUCGGGCUCAGAUUCUAUGCAGUAAAAGUUCUUUAUAGUUUAAUCUCUAUAACGGCCCUACGGGGCCAUUUUACUUGAUUAAACCAGUUUUUGGACCCCGCCUUGGGGCCGCUGAGCACUGCUCAUGUUCUGAGGCACAGUGUCGCUCUUAUUGCACUGACUGGAGCUGAUGCGAACUUAC
rnacentral:snRNA from 1 species